rnacentral:rRNA from 1 species
AACGAACGCUGGCGGCGUGCCUAACACAUGCAAGUCGAGCGAGAAAGUAGCGAUACGAGUAAAGCGGCGGACGAGAGAGUAACGCGUAGGUAAUCUACCUGUUUGUGGGGAAUAACGUUCCGAAAGGAACGCUAAUACCGCAUAAGUCUCCUGGUCGUAGGACCGGUAGAGAAAGAGGCCUCUCGCAAGAGGGUCUUGCUGACAGAUGAGCCUGCGUCCCAUUAGGUAGUUGGUGAGGUAAUGGCUCACCAAGCCGACGAUGGGUAGCUGGUCUGAGAGGACGACCAGCCACACUGGAACUGACACACGGUCCAGACUCCUACGGGAGGCAGCAGUGGGGAAUAUUGCGCAAUGGAGGAAACUCUGACGCAGCGACGCCGCGUGGGUGAUGAAGGCCUUCGGGUUGUAAAGCCCUGUCGGCUGGGAAAAAGGUAGUCGUGCUAAUACCACGAUUGCUUGAUGGUACCAGCAAAGGAAGCACCGGCUAACUCUGUGCCAGCAGCCGCGGUAAUACAGAGGGUGCAAGCGUUGUUCGGAAUUACUGGGCGUAAAGGGCGUGUAGGCGGUUGAACAAGUCAGAUGUGAAAUCCCGGGGCUCAACUCCGGAAGUGCAUUUGAAACUGUUCGGCUCGAGUGUUGUAGAGGAUGGCGGAAUACCCAGUGGAGAGGCGAAAUUCGUAGAUAUUGGGUGGAACACCGGUGGCGAAGGCGGCCAUCUGGCAACAACUGACGCUGAGGCGCGAGAGCGUGGGGAGCAAA